rnacentral:rRNA from 1 species
UACGUAGGGGGCGAGCGUUAUCCGGAAUUACUGGGUGUAAAGGGAGCGUAGACGGCGAGGUAAGCCUGAAGUGGAAGCCCGCGGCCCAACCGCGGAACUGCUUUGGGAACUGUUUUGCUGGAGUAUGGGAGGGGUAAGCGGAAUUCCUGGUGUAGCGGUGAAAUGCGUAGAUAUCAGGAGGAACACCGGUGGCGAAGGCGGCUUACUGGACCAUAACUGACGUUGAGGCUCGAAAGCGUGGGGAACAAACAGG